AGAGUUUGAUCAUGGCUCAGGAUGAACGCUAGCGGAGGCCUAACACAUGCAAGCCGAGCGGUAUUGUUUCUUCGGAAAUGAGAGAGCGGCGUACGGGUGACGGAACACGUGUGUAACCUGCCUUUAUCUGGGGAUAGCCUUUCGAAAGGAAGAUUAAUACUCCAUAAUAUAUUGAACGGCAUCGUUUAAUAUUGAAAGCUCCGGCGGAUAGAGAUGGGCACGCGCAAGAUUAGCUAGUUGGUGAGGUAACGGCUCACCAAGGCGAUGAUCUUUAGGGGCCUGAGAGGGUGAUCCCCCACACUGGUACUGAGACACGGACCAGACUCCUACGGGAGGCAGCAGUGAGGAAUAUUGGUCAAUGGGUGCAAGCCUGAACCAGCCAUCCCGCGUGAAGGACGACUGCCCCUAUGGGUUGUAAACUUCUUUUGUAUAGGGAUAAACCUACCCUCGUGAGGGUAGCUGAAGGUACUAUACGAAUAAGCACCGGCUAACUCCGUG
rnacentral:rRNA from 1 species